AGAAUCAACGCUGGCGGCGUGCCUAACACAUGCAAGUCGAACGAGAAAGUGGAGCAAUCCAUGAGUAAAGUGGCGCACGGGUGAGUAACACGUGACUAACCUACCCUUGAGUGGGGAAUAACUUCGGGAAACCGAGGCUAAUACCGCAUAACACCUACGGGUCAAAGGAGCAAUUCGCUUAAGGAGGGGUCGCGGCAGAUUAGCUAGUUGGUAGGGUAAUGGCCUACCAAGGCGAAGAUCGGUA
rnacentral:rRNA from 1 species